rnacentral:rRNA from 1 species
UGGGGAAUUUUGGACAAUGGGGGAAACCCUGAUCCAGCCAUCCCGCGUGUGCGAUGAAGGCCUUCGGGUUGUAAAGCACUUUUGGCAGGAAAGAAACGUCGCGGGUUAAUACCCCGCGGAACUGACGGUACCUGCAGAAUAAGCACCGGCUAACUACGUGCCAGCAGCCGCGGUAAUACGUAGGGUGCAAGCGUUAAUCGGAAUUACUGGGCGUAAAGCGUGCGCAGGCGGUUCGGAAAGAAAGAUGUGAAAUCCCAGAGCUUAACUUUGGAACUGCAUUUUUAACUACCGGGCUAGAGUGUGUCAGAGGGAGGUGGAAUUCCGCGUGUAGCAGUGAAAUGCGUAGAUAUGCGGAGGAACACCGAUGGCGAAGGCAGCCUCCUGGGAUAACACUGACGCUCAUGCACGAAAGUGUGGGGAGCAAACAGGAUUAGAUACCCUGGUAGUCCACGCCCUAAACGAUGUCAACUAGCUGUUGGGGUCUUCGGACCUUGGUAGCGCAGCUAACGCGUGAAGUUGACCGCCUGGGGAGUACGGUCGCAAGAUUAAAACUCAAAUGAA